rnacentral:rRNA from 1 species
UACGUAGGGGGCGAGCGUUGUCCGGAAUCAUUGGGCGUAAAGAGCGUGUAGGUGGACUGGAAGGUCUGGUGUGAAAGCCCGGGGCUCAACCCCGGAGGGUCACUGGAAACCAACAGUCUUGAGUCCGGAAGAGGAGAGUGGAAUUCCUGGUGUAGCGGUGGAAUGCGCAGAUAUCAGGAGGAACACCGGUGGCGAAGGCGGAUCUCUGGGCCUUACCUGACGCUGAGGCGCGAAAGCUAGGGGAGCGAACAGG